rnacentral:rRNA from 1 species
UAGAAAAUACGAGUUUACACUCAUCAACCCUGUGAACAUACCUAAAACGUUGCCUCGGCGGGAACAGACGGCCCCGUAACACGGGCCGCCCCCGCCAGAGGACCCCCUAACUCUGUUUCUAUAAUGUUUCUUCUGAGUAAACAAGCAAAUAAAUUAAAACUUUCAACAACGGAUCUCUUGGCUCUGGCAUCGAUGAAGAACGCAGCGAAAUGCGAUAAGUAAUGUGAAUUGCAGAAUUCAGUGAAUCAUCGAAUCUUUGAACGCACAUUGCGCCCGCCAGUAUUCUGGCGGGCAUGCCUGUUCGAGCGUCAUUACAACCCUCAGGCCCCCGGGCCUGGCGUUGGGGAUCGGCGGAAGCCCCCUGCGGGCACAACGCCGUCCCCCAAAUACAGUGGCGGUCCCGCCGCAGCUUCCAUUGCGUAGUAGCUAACACCUCGCAACUGGAGAGCGGCGCGGCCACGCCGUAAAACACCCAACUUCUGAAUGUUGACCUCGAAUCAGGUAGGAAUACCCGCUGAACUUAAGCAUAUCAAUAAGCCGGGAGGAA